rnacentral:rRNA from 1 species
AUACGGAGGAUACGAGCGUUAUCCGGAUUUAUUGGGUUUAAAGGGUGCGUAGGCUGUGCGUUAAGUCAGGGGUGAAAUGCCGUCGCUCAACGACGGAGCUGCCCUUGAUACUGGCGUGCUGGAGUACGGAUGCCGUUGGAGGAAUGAGUGGUGUAGCGGUGAAAUGCUUAGAUAUCACUCAGAACACCGAUUGCGAAGGCAUCUGACGAAUCCGUCACGGACGCUGAGGCACGAAAGCGUGGGGAUAGAACAGGAUUAGAUACCCUGGUAUUCCACGCCGUAAACGAUGAUGACUAACCGUCGGCGAUAGACAGCCGGUGGCCAAGCGAAAGCGAUAAGUCAUCCACCUGGGGAGUACGUCGGCAACGAUGAAACUUAAAGGAAUUGACGGGG